ensembl:misc_RNA Y_RNA Y RNA
GACUGGUUGGAGUACAGUGGUGUUUACAACUAAUUGAUCACAAACAGUUACAGAUUCCUUUGUUCCUUCUCCACUCCCACUGCUUCACUUGACUAGCCUUUG